rnacentral:rRNA from 1 species
GAUGAACGCUGGCGGCGUGCCUAAUACAUGCAAGUCGAGCGAACAGAUGAGGAGCUUGCUCCUCUGACGUUAGCGGCGGACGGGUGAGUAACACGUGGAUAACCUACCUAUAAGACUGGGAUAACUUCGGGAAACCGGAGCUAAUACCGGAUAAUAUAUUGAACCGCAUGGUUCAAUAGUGAAAGACGGUUUUGCUGUCACUUAUAGAUGGAUCCGCGCCGCAUUAGCUAGUUGGUAAGGUAACGGCUUACCAAGGCAACGAUGCGUAGCCGACCUGAGAGAGUGAUCGGCCACACUGGAACUGAGACACGGACCAGACUCCUGCGGGAGGCAGCAGUAGGGAAUCUUACGCAAUGGGCGAGAGCCUGACGGAACGACGCCGCGUGAGUGAUGAAGGUCUUCGGAGCGUAAAACUCUGUUAUUAGGGAAGAACAAAUGUGUAAGUAACUGUGCACGUCUUGACGGUACCUGAUCAGAAAGCCACGGCUAACUACGUG